AUUGAACGCUGGCGGCAGGCUUAACACAUGCAAGUCGAGCGAGCGGCGGACGGGUGAGUAAUGUCUGGGAAAAUGCCUGAUGGAGGGGGAUAACUACUGGAAAAGGUAGAUAAUACCGCAUACCAUACGAUGUGCCAAGAUGGGAUUAGCUAGUAGGUGGGGUAAUGGCUAAACGAGGCGAAGAUCCCUAGCUGGUCUGAGAGGAUGACCAGCCACACUGCAACGGAGACACGGUCCAGACUCCUACGGGAGGCAGCAGUGGGUAAUAUUGCACAAUGGGCGCAAGCCUGAUGCAGCCAUGCCGCGUGUGUGAAGAAGGCCUUCGGGUUGUAAAGCACUUUCAGCGAGGAGGCGUUACUCGCAGAAGAAGCACCGGCUAACUCCGUGCCAGCAGCCGCGGUAAUAC
rnacentral:rRNA from 1 species